UCUCCGUUGGUGAACCUGCGGAGGGAUCAUUACAGUAAAACGGAGGGGCAAGGGCUGCCGCUGCCACGAAGGGUCGGUCACGCCCGCGUGGCCUCGCACCCACCGAUGCCACCCCUAUGUGCACCACCCCGAGGCUCCCCCUUCGGCCCGGUCGGCGGGGGGCUUCCGGUUUCACACAAGCUUUGCUUGCUGUGAAGCAUGUAUGUUUAAUCUUUCCGAACACGCAAUCUAUACUCCUUUCAACAACGGAACUCUUGGAUCUCGCAUCGACGCAGAACC
rnacentral:misc_RNA from 1 species